GACAGAGGGUGCAAACGUUGUUCGGAAUUACUGGGCGUAAAGCGCGUGUAGGCGGCUAUGUAAGUCGGGCGUGAAAUCCCACGGCUCAACCGUGGAAGUGCACCCGAAACUGCGUAGCUAGAGUCCUGGAGAGGAAGGUGGAAUGCUUGGUGUAGAGGUGAAAUUCGUAGAUAUCAAGCGGAACACCGGUGGCGAAGGCGGCCUCUGGACAGUGACUGACGCUGAGACGCGAAAAGCGUGGGGGAGCGAACAGG
rnacentral:rRNA from 1 species